rnacentral:rRNA from 1 species
AUUCCGAUUACUCAUCCCCUCUUCUACUAUGCAGGUAACCCAUAGGUAGGAAGCUUAGGGUGCAGCGGAACGGAUAGCGGCCGGUGUAGAUUGGAAGUGGCAUAAGCAUAAGCGGACUAUCUUUUGGAAUGUAUAAUUACAUUCUUUUCAUUUUGACACUAGGCCGUGAGCUCAAACUCUGAUAUUUUGUAAAACGCUUUCUACCUAUUAUUAAUAAAAUGUAUGUUUAUAUUCGUAGUUGUGUGUUAAAUGAUACUAGACCUUGUCCGGGUCGACACAACUCGAUGAUUGAGGUACGGGUUGUGAAGCCUUAGGCCAUGACAUCAAGGUCAUAGCAAACUGGAACGGAUUGGUCGCGAGUCUUGACUUGUUCUUGAUUCUUGGUCGGGUUAGUCCGGCCUGGUACGGUGAGCUAUACUUGUGGCGCUCCCAGGACGUACCGGGUUAGUCCGGCCUGGUACGGUCCGGGGGUGUUACAGUCGGGGGCAUUCGUAUUUCAUAGUCAAAGGUGAAAUUCUUGGAUUUAUGAAAGGGGAACAACUGCGAAAGCAUUUGCCAAUGAUGUUUUCAUUAAUCAAGACUGAAAGUUGGGGGCUCGAAGACUAUCAGAUACCGUCCUAGUCUCAACCAUAAACGAUGCCGACCAGGGAUCAGCGGAUGUUGCUUUUAGGACUCCGCUGGCACCUUAUGAGAAAUCAAAGUUUUGGGUUUCGGGGGGAGUGUGGUUGCAAGGCUGAAACUUAAAGGAAUUGACGGAAGGGCACCACCAGGAGUGGAGCCUGCGGCUUAAUUUGACUCAACACGGGAAACUUACCAGGUCCGACAUAGUAAGGAUUGACAGACUGAGAGCUCUUUCUUGAUUCUAUGGGUGGUGGUGCAUGGCCGUUCUUAGUUGGUGGAGCGAUUUGUCCGGUUAAUUCUGUUAACGAACGAGACUUCAGCCUGCUAACUAGCUUCGUGGAGGCAUCCCUUCACGGCCGGCUUCUUAGAGGGACUAUGGCCGUUUAGGACAAGGAAGUUUGAGGCAAUAACAGGUCCAGUGAUGCCCUUAGAUAUUCUGGGCGCGCAUACGCGCUACACUGAUGUAUUCAACGAAGUUCACACCUUGGCCGACAGGCCCGGUAAUCUUUGAAAUUUCAUCGUGAUGGGGAUAGAUCAUUGCAAUUGUUGGUCUUCAACGAGGAAUUCCUAGUAAGAGCGAAGUCAUCAGCUCGCGUUGACUACGCCCCUGCCCUUUGUACACACCGCCCAUCGCUCCUACCGAUUGACUGAUCCGGUGAAGUGUUCGAUCACGCGGCGGCGUGGGUGGUUUGCCGUAUCGCGACGUCGCGGGAAGUCCACUAAACCUUUUCAUUUAGAGGAAGGAGAAGUCGUAACAAGGUUUCCAUAGGUGAACCUGCGGAAG